AGUUAUUGUAAACUAAUUUAUUCGAACUAUAAUAGUCCUAUGACUUGCUGUCCGUUUACCAAUAUUUAUACUUUAUAAAAUGUUUUCAUAUUCAUUGAUCAUUAACUUCAUGUUUUGCGAAUACUUAUAAGGGGGUAAUUAUUAUAGUCAGUAAUAGCUAACAAUUUAUCUAAAGAAAACGAGAUGCUAUAUUCAAAUUCUGAGAUAUGAAUCUAGUUCUUUAAAAAAAAAUUCUCCACAACAAAAAUUCUACACUUUCAUUUAUCUGGGUCUUUUUGUCUCCGCUUCGAAGCCGCCAUCCCGUACCAGACAUAUUUAUUCGUUUGGCAAUAUACAAUCAUGUAAGCAAUAUACAACAGGCAGUAGAUCUGAAUUUGUAAAUUGUUAUUUUGGAUUUUACCUGAUUAGGACGUGUCUCGUUGAAUUUUCUAAUAAACUUACACACACAUAAUCUGACUUUUAAUCGUAAUGUUAUGAGAUCUAUAAGAACAUAGAGCUACUGUAUAGGCCUAGUUGCAUGCAAGUCUUUACAAAUUAUAUAUUUUGGUAUGCUAUAGUUGUUUUUAUAGACUAUUUGUCAUUUGGCCUUUUUUUUGUUGUUGUUUUUUUAGUUUUUGACAUGGCGUUGACUCGAGUUUGAUAUAUUAUGCAUCUUUUGUGCUGUAUUUUAACAAUUAUUUACAAGCAUGCUGCAUGUUUACACAUUCAUCACUAUACCGCAUCUAAAUAUAGCUUUAUUGUAAAAAAAAAUAAGGAGAUGUAGUAUGAUUGGUGAUGAGACAACUAUCAACCAGAAUUUAAAAUACCUUAUAUAAGCAAUUGUGACUUACUUUCUUUACUCAGAGUGAUCGUAAAUUAAUCAGAUAAGCUGGAGGAGGGGUGGGGGCUUCAUAUAGACCCAUAUUAAAUGAAAAGAAAUUAGCAUUAGCUUUUUGUGAUAAAUAUAUAAUAAACUCACAGUAACAGAAAUAGCUCUUGAAAGCUCUGUCAGAUCCCGGCACUUUUAACUGUUUUUUGACACGUGCUAAAAAAUGCAGCACCUGGUUACAAGGGCUUAUUUGACAAAUUAUCAUCUUUCGUAAUCUAAGUUAUAAAAUCUAAAUUUUAAGUGAUCUAAAAUGUUCAUGACUAACGAGUAUUUUCACUUGUACGAUUUUUCUGUGAAAUGAGUCUAAGAGUAUAUACAUGUAUAUCAGGAUACUGACUGCAUAGUAAAAUAUUUAUGUACCAUUAGUUGCGACUCAUUUUGGUCUUUUAAGUAAGUUUCCUUCCCCUGCAUUACUUGAUCGCUUUUGUAAAAAAUAAACAGCACAACAACAACAGCACUCGACGUCAGUAUUGCACCAAAAAAUGAAAAAAAUAUUCAAAAAGAAGGCUCAUAAAAUUCAAAUAUUGGACAAGAACUAUAGAAGAUGCAGAGAAAUUAUAAACAGCAGAAAUGAUAGGUAAUUUAAAAUUUGCAGAAGUCAACAAAACCUAAAUGGUGAUCAGACAUCUUGGUUUUCAUGAUCAAUAGGUCAAUACUGAAGAGGAAACUGAAAGUUGAUAUCUAUCUACAUGGUGCGCUAAUUGGAUUAAUGUGAAAUGAAAUGUGUGCUUUCCUGCAAAAAAGAAAUAGGAAAUUUCAUCAUAAUCACAUGAUAAUGGCUAUAAACAAAAUGGAGUUCUAUCAUAGAUGCAGAAAAACACAAUUGUAUAAAUGCAACAUCAUAUUAUAUAUAUUCGUCAAAAGAAGGGAGAAAUGAAGAAAAAAAUAGCAUUUUGUUGUUGAAAGGAACACCAGCUUUAUCCACUCAUUUACAUCGCUCCCUCAUAUCAAAUAUACUGAAGAAGAUCUUCGAAGAACAAAUUGCAAAAAUGUUUUCUCUAAGAAUUGAAGGAAAUUGUUUAGUGAAUGGAAUAAUUUAUGUUAUGAACUUUUACGUAGUGAAUUGAAUAACUGUACACAGCAGCUGAAACAGAGGAAAAUUAAAAUUUACAAG